GAUGAAGAACGCAGCGAAAUGCGAUAAGUAGUGUGAAUUGCAGAAUUCAGUGAAUCAUCGAAUCUUUGAACGCACAUUGCGCCCCUUGGUAUCCCGAGGGGCAUGCCUGUUCGAGCGUCAUUUCACCACUCAAGCCUGGCUUGGUGUUGGGCGACGUCCUCUUUGGGGACGCGCCUCGAAACGCUCGGCGGCGUGGCACCGGCUUUAAGCGUAGCAGAAUCUUUCGCUUUGGAAGUCGGGGCCCCGUCUGCCGGAAGACCUGCUCGCAAGGUUGAACUCGGAUCAGGCAGGGAUACCCGCUGAACUUAAGCAUAUCAAUAAGCGGAGGA
rnacentral:misc_RNA from 1 species